rnacentral:lncRNA from 12 species
CCCAGGAGUGUGAAGUGGCAACGUGCUGAUGGGUGCAACCUCCGUGCAUGGGUUCUUGAAAGAAUAGCCAUUGUUUCUGGAAAGUCAUCCUAGCCUGCUGUCCUCAGGCCUGCAGAGGCUGACUGCUUUACUCCUGAGAUAUUGCUGUUUGUCUGACCAAAUGCCCCCUCUCUGCUCAGGUGAGUGAGUGCAGCCCAUAUGGUGGGAGAAGGAAAUGGGAACAGACCUACUGAACUUCCAAAGGGGCCCAGAGGAAGUUGACAAGCUUUGAAGGGUGCCAUGAGUCAAUUGACUUGCCCAAAGGCAAACCAGGGAUUAGAGAUCUACUUUUAAUUAAUAGGGGACAAAGGAGCCAUUACCAACAUACUCUUCACCCGCAGAAGCAAAUUACGGGAUUAUCAACAGAAGAGCUGGGCUGUAGAGAGGAAAGCCUAUUUUUUGCCCAUUUCUGAACCUAAACAAAUAUUGACCCACAGCCAUUUUCUGAUUGCAUUUUAGAAUGCCCCAGGGGUCAUGGAUGAGUGUCCUCCCCCCUCUGGAUGGUUUAGGAAGAGCAAAUGCUUUGACUUGAGGAGUUGGCACAGCUAAGAGCCAUGGUCCCCUGUUCAAAUUUGCCACCGAGGCCACAUAUGCUGGUCUCUUUUUUUUUUUUUUUUUUUUUUUUGCUAUUCAGCUUAAGAAAUGGCUCUACUCUUGCUUGUCUAAGGGUAAGGUAAUGACUUGCAUAUGCCGGGAGGGUCAUCAGGAUCACGACCUUCACGGCACAUUUCUUUUGGCUUCCCAAGGGAGGGAGGGCCAGUGACAGGAUUUGGGCAGGUUUUGUUCUAGGUGGAGCCACGCAGGAAUGGAGCAGAUUGCCUGUCACAUCCAGAAUUGUCCAAGCCGUAGAAGGAUUUCUGCUUGAUGUGAGAGACCAGGACAGAUGGUUUCUGAGGUGGUUUCAAAAAGUAAAUCUAAAACAACAGCAACAAAAAUGAUCAGAGAUAUACUCAAGAAGCCUGGGCCCACGGAAGCUGUCCAGUUUCUUCACUGUUCUUUUAGAGUGCUUCCAGAAUAUCUGAUCUUAUUCCCACCCUGAUGGACAAACAGGCUGGCAGGCCCAUGGAGAGUCCUCUGCAGACAGGAAGCAGAGACCCCAAUGCAGCCUUAAAGCUAAUGCUAAGCGAAGGGGAGAAGCCCAGAGGUACUUCCUCCUGGUGAUCUUAUUUAUUAUUCAUGAAGACCUAUGGGGGUAGGUAUUGCCAUUAUUCUCAUUUUACAGGAAACUGAGGCCCAGAGAUGGCAAGCACAUUGCCAAGCCUGAACAGUGGCAGAACAGAGAUGCUAACUCAGGAAGUGGGACUCCACUCUCAACCACUUUUAACCACUGCACUAUGUUAAGUCGUGUUCUCUUUGCUUGGCAAAGCUUCCUUCGUAGAAUUUGGAAUAAGGCAAGUAUUUUCUUGAAUUGGAUGAGUCAUUUGAACCUUUUUUUUUUUUCUUUUUUAAAGUAAGGUAUCCUUCCCUCUAAGAAAAACUCCCUAGAAGAGUUAUCUUAAAAAAAAAAAAAUAAAAAAAAGAGUCAUCUUAGAGAUUGCA